rnacentral:lncRNA from 1 species
GCCCAGGACAGCUUGAGAAACAGAAGCAAAAAUCCCUGCGUCCAGCCCAAGAGUGGCCGUGGGCUCCUCCUGCCUCGCUCAGAGUCAGAAUCAAAUAAGGCGGUGAAGGUCCGAGCGCCCAUUUGACCUGCAGCUACUCUGAAGGUACUUCUAAGAUGCAUUUCAAAGAUGAAGAAGCAUCUUUUGUGCUCUCUGCCAGCCAAGGAUCCUUCAGAUUGAAAGGGAAGCAGUCAGGACGGCAGACCCAUCUCAGAGAUCAAGUGAAAUGGUGCCAGAACAGGGCUCCGGGGAUGGCUUGCUUUCCCACAGAUGAUGAUCGGGAGUGGAACACCCCCACACCCUCAGGCCAGCGUCGGCUUGUGGAAAGCUGGGCAGCGAGAGAAGCCUUCCAGCCUCCACCUUGGAUCCAUGCUUGGAAUCUGGAAGAAUCCUACUGGACACCUGGGAUGAUCUUUCAUGAAUCUCUCCCAUAUUUUUCUUAUUUUCUUUAAUAUUUUAUACAUACAGAAAUAUGUGUAACAUAUGUGUUAGUUAUAAGCAUAAUUACAAAAUGGAAAUCUGUAAGUCUACCACCCCAUCCGAGGAUGAAAGUGUUUCCAGGAACACUGCAUGUGCUUAGCCAUUUGCUCCGCUUUUUUCCCAGAAGUAACCAAGAUCCUGGGUUUUGUGCUCUUCAUGAAUCCCCUUGCUAAGACAAAACCAAAGCAAAACAAAGAUAUUAUAGCCUGUAGUUAAAUAUUUUGCUUUAAAAUUUGCCUCUUGUUUUCCCUGCUUUUAAGAGCUUUGCCAAGAUGGGAGUAUGUGUACAGUUUUUUGGAACUUGCACUUCUUUACCUAACAUUGUGUUUCAAAGAUCUGCUGGUGUUGCAUGUGGCUGUAGCU